rnacentral:rRNA from 1 species
UACAGAGGUCUCAAGCGUUGUUCGGAUUCAUUGGGCGUAAAGGGCGCGUAGGCUGCGGGGCAAGUCGGGUGUGAAAUCUCAGAGCUCAACUCUGAAACUGCACUCGAUACUGCUUUGCUUGAGGACUGGAGAGGAGAUUGGAAUUCACGGUGUAGCAGUGAAAUGCGUAGAUAUCGUGAGGAAGACCAGUGGCGAAGGCGGAUCUCUGGACAGUUCCUGACGCUGAGGCGCGAAGGCCAGGGGAGCGAAACGGG